rnacentral:rRNA from 1 species
UGGCACUGCCCGGUAGCUAAAUGCGGAAGAGAUAAGUGCUGAAAGCAUCUAAGCACGAAACUUGCCCCGAGAUGAGUUCUCCCUGAGACUUAGAGUCUCCUGAAGGAACGUUGAAGACGACGACGUUGAUAGGCCGGGUGUGUAAGCGCAGCGAUGCGUUGAGCUAACCGGUACUAAUGAACCGUGAGGCUUAACCUUAC